GGGGGUUUAGCUCAGCAGUAGAGCGCUUGCCUAGCAAGUGCAAGACCCUGGGUUUGAUCCCCAGCUCCG
rnacentral:tRNA from 1 species